UUCUUCCCCCCUUCUUCCUGGUUUCCGGCUGAAAGCAACUCCGUCGCCGGAAUUUGUCGCCGGAUUUCACAUAGGAAGUCGCUAUAUCAUCGCUAUAAGGUCGAUAUGUACCUUGUAAAGACUGUUGGGCUUAAAAAAUGGCCCAAAUGGUGACCUGAUUGGCUGGAGCGUCGCUUCACAGCUUCAACGCUUCACCGCUUAAAGCUCGCUUCAGGUCGCUUCAUGUAAUGCAUCGCUUCAGAGCCAAAAAAGCGUUUUUCCGAUCGCUUCAUCGCUUCAUCGCCUCAAGCGCGCUUCAAGCGCGCUUUUUUAAACCAAUUUUUUCCUUAAUUGC